AACAGAGAUUGACUCGUUUCUUUCGUUCGUUUCUGUCGGAAGCUGUCUAUCGUUCUCUCAAAAAUGGACAAGGCUGCGCAGGACAAUCGUGCAAACCAGUGCAAUCCUAAUCAUGAGAAAUCCGGCCCUGGCCGUGACGCUGGUUACCAUGGAACAGGAAGUAAAGCAGAUCUGGACAACCAUGGCAAACAACUGAAUCCAAACAAUCCUAAUUACGGAGGAGGGAAAAAAUGAGGGAAGAAGCGAUGAUUUUUUUUGUACACCAGUUGUUAAUAUAAAGUGAUGAAAUGUUUCAAAAACAUAGAAUGACUGGUUAACACUUCUUAUUGAAACAUUAUUAUGUACAUCAAAGAAAUACACUAAAUCCAAUUAAAUGUCUGAAUUUUGAAAGUUCA